UACGUAGGGGGCGAGCGUUGUCCGGAAUCAUUGGGCGUAAAGGGCGCGUAGGCGGCCUGGCAAGUGGAAGGUGAAAUCCCUCGGCUUAACCGAGGAACUGCCCUCCAAACUGCUUGGCUUGAGUCCGGGAGAGGUGAGUGGAAUUCCCAGUGUAGCGGUGAAAUGCGUAGAUAUUGGGAGGAACACCAGUGGCGAAGGCGGCUCUCUGGACCGUAACUGACGCUGAGGCACGAAAGCGUGGGUAGCAAACAGG
rnacentral:rRNA from 1 species